GACGAACGCUGGCGGCGUGCUUAACACAUGCAAGUCGAACGGAAAGGCCCUGCUUUUGUGGGGUGCUCGAGUGGCGAACGGGUGAGUAACACGUGAGUAACCUGCCCUUGACUUUGGGAUAACUUCAGGAAACUGGGGCGAAUACCGGAUAGGAGCUCCUGCUGCAUGGUGGGGGUUGGAAAGUUUCGGCGGUUGGGGAUGGACUCGCGGCUUAUCAGCUUGUUGGUGGGGUAGUGGCUUACCAAGGCUUUGACGGGUAGCCGGCCUGAGAGGGUGACCGGCCACAUUGGGACUGAGAUACGGCCCAGACUCCUACGGGAGGCAGCAGUGGGGAAUAUUGCACAAUGGGCGGAAGCCUGAUGCAGCAACGCCGCGUGCGGGAUGACGGCCUUCGGGUUGUAAACCGCUUUCGCCUGUGACGAAGCGUGAGUGACGGUAAUGAGUAAAGAAGCACCGGCUAACUACGUG
rnacentral:rRNA from 1 species